rnacentral:lncRNA from 1 species
GUGCGUUUUACACCCCUCUCGGCAACGAAGUCCGCUGCCUGGGCCUAAACCUCUCCAGAGUGUGGCACCGCCGGUGUUGGAAGUUACCUGUCUCCAGAGCCGGCUUAACGCAGCCGCACGGGGUCGCUGUAGGCCGAGGCCCCGACUCCUCCAAGCCGCGCAUGGCUACUGGUUGCUGAGGUGCCCACCCGACGCAUUCAACCUUCCGCUUCCGCUCUCCAUGCCUGACGCAUGCGCAGUGGCCUCGCCGGCGAGG